UAGUAUUCUACUCAAUAGAAUAGACACACUGCUAUCUCUUAGAAAAUUAUUAGAUUGAUGAAUACAUAGAUGUAAAAACAUCAUUUGGUGGGUAUCAGGAUUUCCACUGAUAGUUGAUUUGUGGACUCUCAAGAAAUUUAUACCUGUAUUCAAACACAUACUGUGAUAUUAACUUGCAGGACUUUCUUAAUAAACCAACUGUGGGAAGGACACACAUUCCUAGACUUUCAUUCACAGGGCAAAUCCAUCAUUGCCAGACUUCUGCUUUCCAUAGAACACUCACUUUUCUGUUUUCUAUUCAACUUGAAUGAAAAUUUCUACUAGAUCUCAUUCCAAAUCCUCCCAUGGGACAGAGCUACCUUUCAGCAAUCAGUGCUUUACCAAGGGCCGCACUCAAAUUUGAACAUCUCAGUAGACAUGGAAUCAGAAGCGAGGGAUUACUGAAUUUCACUCUGAAAGCUUUUCUUCUCAGAUACUGUAAUAAAAAAGCACCACCUUCAUCUCAGAUGAUUUGCAGCUUUUCUGACAGCUAACGUUUAUCUCUGUGACUCUUGCAUUCUAGGGAAAAAAUACAAUUUGUAGAUAACUUUAAAUAUUUACCUUUUUUUUUCCAAGCAGGAAGCAAAGGGUAAAACAACCACACACACACACACACACACACACACACACACUCACACGCACACAAAGUUUCACUACAUAGAUACAUCUUGAUUUAAAAUUCCUGGGCACUUAGGCUGCAUGUCAUGGCCCUCUGCGUGAGUUAAGUGGAGUCAGAGAUUUCUGCCAAGUUAUAGAGCUGGUUACUUACUUCAGGAAAUAUUCAGUUAUUUCAUUUGAAGUAUGAAAUUGCAGGAGCAUCCAAAAGUUUACCAGGGUCUAAAACUACAAGUGAGCUUGUUAUUUGUCUCUACUCUUUAUCCUUCUAUGGAGUAGUUCCAAGGGAUCCUUUGAACCAGCUGCCCAGUUUUCAUCCCUGUAAAUAAAUUUUUCUUCACACAGUACAGGG
rnacentral:lncRNA from 10 species